CUAACAGCUAAGCAUUCCCAAGGAGUCAGUUGGCUAGCCACUGGGAUUCUUUUAAAGGUAGCUAGUAUGUAGAAGAACAAAGCCUGGGGCCCUGAGAUAAAUGGAAUGCCAUUUUUAUGCAUGGCAUCCAUUUUGAUUUCGCAGCUGUCCUUUUGAUGCUGAUUCUAGUAAUUCUGAAAAGCUUCAUUAAUAAGGGCACUUCAGGUCUUUUUGUGACUGAUGACUGAAGACCGAGAGAGGAGGAGGUUGGAGGUGAUCACUCUUUGCUAGUUAUCGGUAAGAGACAGGGACAUCGGUCGGCAAUAUGGCUCAGCAGAAUGAAGGUGAGAAAUCUGGGCCCAUGAAUCCUGGGGUCAGAAGAGGACAUCAGACGCCCCUGAACUGGAAUUAAACAUGGUUAGGAGCCACCAUGUGGGUGUUGAAAAUUGAACCCAGGUUCAUUCCAUUAUGUGCCAAAGCCAAAGAAGCCCCCUUCUUCAGUGCAUGGGGACUACUGCAAAGACUCAUAACUUGCCAACAUGCUGAGAAGUAAUGACUGUUGAGUGAUCAACCCUAAUUGGAACAUCUAUAUGACUGCCUAUAAGAAUCAGGAAGCUGAGGAAGGAGUGAUAGAAAGAAUGUUAAGCUAUUGGUGGGGAAGAAUGCUCUGGCAUGCUGUCUUCUGGACAUGACAUGGCCAUUCUACUCAUGAACUAUGGUGAUCUGCACAAGAUUGGGCCUUUCGAAUUCCUUCCAGGCAUAGGAGAGUAGAUUAUGAAGUGAUAUCCUUCACUAAGUUUAACUUCAUUACCUGAAGUUGGUCUACGGGAGAGGAAGAGACUUCAUUGAUGAUGUAAAGGAUGACCUAUACAUGCUUGAGAAAUAACCAGUUAUCCAUGUUCAUGCAGGUAAACGAAUUGAACGAUCUCUCUCUCUCUCUCUCUCUCUCUCUCUCUCUCUCUCUCUCUCUCA